AGCUUACACAGUCUAUGAAUAUUUUAAAGAGUUGGGUGGUGACAUGUGAGACAAAUUUGCCGACGGCAUUCCUAUUGGUUUAGUGGGAACGUGAUGACACAGGAGUUCGGCAUAAUACUUUAAAAAGGUUCUCUGUCAGUGGUGAGCCACUGUGAAAAAGACGACCGUUAACUCCUGAUAGGCGAACUCAAGCGUUGGAAACCGAGAGCAACCUCGAGAUUACUACUGAACAUCAUGAGUGAGGGGACCUGGAUGGCAGGAAGCUUGACCCGGUGAUGUACUGGGCCGGUCACACUACCCUCUGUAGUGCCUUGCGGUCGGAGGCCGAGCAGUUGCCAUACCAGGCAGUGGUGCAACCCGUCAGGAUCCUCUCGAUGGUGCAGCUAUAAAACCUUUUGAGGAUCUGAGGACCCAUGCCAAAUCUUUUCAGAUGUAAUCAUUUAUCCUGUGUUGCAGCGACAAGGAUCUGGUGCAGCGGGCGGAAACAGCAAAACAUCUGGAGGACAAGAUGCAUCCAAGAAGUCCCAGGAAGUCCCAGCGGAGGACUUUGACAUCGACAUGGACGCCCCGGAGACUGAGAAGGCGGCCGUUGCCAUUCAAUCGCAG